rnacentral:lncRNA from 1 species
ACAGAUGGUUACAGUUCUGGUUCACUUGUCCCACCAAUUUUACUAUGGGAGUGGUUGAAGAAAAUGUUCAUUGAAGCAGAAUGAUGAUGGGAACAAUGGACAAUGUCAUAGGCUAUUUCCUUAAUGGUGGAGAUACUGUUGGAUCAGAUAGUCUUUCAGAUGAUUGCUGAUCAAUGAACAAACAAAUGAAUUCCACACGAGAGUUCUUAUAUACGUGCCCUGGUAACAUUGACCUUUGCUUUCACUCUUUUCGGGGAAAGUCAGGAUUUUUAUCUUUUAUUGUUUUAGAUGUCAUCUUCUUGUUAAUUUUACCCAACACCUGCAUAUAUUAUUUCAUUAUGACUUAUUUUUAUAGGGGACAAGAGUCCACAGGUUUGAUGAUAUGAUUAUACAAUACAUUAUCGUAUUUCUCCUAUUAGUGUGUCUCUCUCUUCCCUCCAAAUUCCUUUCUCCAUCUUUCCCCUUUCUCUAUACAAACAACAAAAAAAGACAAGAUUUGGAGGUGAGGAAAGACACAUCAUAUUUAACCUGAAUUCCUGUCCCUCACAUAACUGAAG